AUUGAACGCUGGCGGCAUGCCUUACACAUGCAAGUCGAACGGUAACAGGUCUUCGGAUGCUGACGAGUGGCGAACGGGUGAGUAAUACAUCGGAACGUGCCCGAUCGUGGGGGAUAACGGAGCGAAAGCUUUGCUAAUACCGCAUACGAUCUACGGAUGAAAGCAGGGGACCGCAAGGCCUUGCGCGGACGGAGCGGCCGAUGGCAGAUUAGGUAGUUGGUGGGAUAAAAGCUUACCAAGCCGACGAUCUGUAGCUGGUCUGAGAGGACGACCAGCCACACUGGGACUGAGACACGGCCCAGACUCCUACGGGAGGCAGCAGUGGGGAAUUUUGGACAAUGGGCGAAAGCCUGAUCCAGCCAUGCCGCGUGCAGGAUGAAGGCCUUCGGGUUGUAAACUGCUUUUGUACGGAACGAAAAGACUCUGGUUAAUACCUGGGGUCCAUGACGGUACCGUAAGAAUAAGCACCGGCUAACUACGUG
rnacentral:rRNA from 1 species